UACAGAGGUCUCAAGCGUUGUUCGGAUUCAUUGGGCGUAAAGGGUGCGUAGGCGGCGCGGUAAGUUCGGGUGUGAAAUCUCGGAGCUUAACUCCGAAACUGCAUUCGAUACUGCCGUGCUUGAGGACUGGAGAGGAGACUGGAAUUUACGGUGUAGCGGUGAAAUGCGUAGAUAUCGUAAGGAACACCAGAGGCGAAAGGCGGCUUCCUGGACAAUUGCUGACGCUCAGGCACGAAAGCGUGGGGAGCAAAAGGG
rnacentral:rRNA from 1 species